rnacentral:lncRNA from 1 species
AUGAAUUUCUUUACUCAAACUUCUACCAAAAAGUGUAUAACAGAGCUUUGUGACUCAAAUAUUCAUUGCUACAACUCAUCCAAGUGGUUAGUAGAUAUUUUUCACUCCAACUUAAGCAUUCCAAAUGUGUUCAGUACAGAUUUGUCAGUCCAACUCAUCCCAAAGGUGUUUAGUAGAGAUUUGUCAGUCCAACUCAUCCAAAAGUUGUUCAGUAGUGAUUUGUUAGUCCAACUCAUCCCAAAGGUGUUUAGUAGAAAUUUGUCUGUCCAACUCAUCAAAAAGUUGUUCAGUAGUGAUUUGUUAGUCCAACUCAUCCAUCCCAAAGGUGUUCAGUAUUAAUUUGUUAGUCCAACUCAUCCAUCUCAAAGGUGUUCAGUAUUAAUUUGUCAGUCCAACUCAUCCCAGAGGUGUUCAGUAACGAUUCGUCAGUCCAACUCAUCCCAAAGGUGAAGGUGGUGCUUUGCCAUUCCAAAGAUCAUACUUUGACUGCUCUCUACAAUCCAUUGUUAGCAGGUUUACACUCCUCUAGCCAGUACUUAAGAUUGUGUGUGUGGUGACCUUAAGCAUUUGUGCUGUUCCAAAGCAUUCCAUUUUCAUUUAAAUGCUUUCCUGUGGAGAUUAUAUGACUGCAUUCAUUUCAAGGCUUGUGUCAGCAAUGGUUGCACCAUGCAGUAACUGAAUCUGCUAAUUAGAAGAGGCGUCUGGAUAAUUUUGGGUAUGUAGCAUGUCAUCCAAAAUUCUGACCAUACCACAGUUCUCCCAAUGCCUGAGUCUUCUGGGUCUCUGCUUUAGCACUAUAAGCUAUCUACUACUUCUACUACUACUACGCAAACUAGAAGUAAUCUAGAAGUACGCAUGCAAGAGGGCAAUACUGCAAACAGAAGAAUACGUAUUAGCACCUUUUCGAAAGGUCUCAAGACUAUGACUGCCUUGUCUCUGUGGAGAGAGAGAGAGAGUGUGAAGGAGACAUGAAACGUGUUUUUUUUAAUACCCUGAAAAAUGUAGGGCAUGUCAUCACAGCUGAUCUUAUGGAUUCAUUCUCCCUCCAUCACACUUCUUCUCCAUCUAACUGCCAUUGUCUCAAUCAAAAGCAACAUGUAUACAAAACCUAAAUCUAAUAGACAAAUACAUGGUAAAAAAAAUCAUAAUACAGUACAUAAAAAAAUAACAACAGCGUACAAAAUAGCCCCUAUAUAAAGUGCUGGGGCCUCUUAGGCAAGGCUUAGAGUGAUACAACAAAACAAAAAGUACAGCACUUGGUGAUACGCAGACGUACAAAACAUUAUCAGACAUUAUUAGGCUAAAAGUAGAAUUGGGCUACAACUGCGAUCUAACAAACAUCGACUGAAAAAUCGAUUAUAACGACGUUAUACAGAAAGAGAAUAAUAAUAAUAGAUAAACAGACUAUAUUCAUAGAGAUAAAACAAUAAAAUGGUGUGGUUCUCCCA